UGGGUAACCUGCCUCAAAGAGGGGAAUAGCCUCCCGAAAGGGAGAUUAAUACCGCAUAAUAUGUUUAAGUCGCAUGACUUUAACAUCAAAGGAUUUUCUUUUAGAAAUUCCACUUUGAGAUGGACCCGCGGCGCAUUAGCUAGUUGGUGAGGUAACGGCUCACCAAGGCAACGAUGCGUAGCCGACCUGAGAGGGUNAUCGGCCACAUUGGAACUGAGACACGGCCAGCUCCGUAGGG
rnacentral:rRNA from 1 species